UACGGAGGGGGCUAGCGUUGUUCGGAAUUACUGGGCGUAAAGCGCACGUAGGCGGCUUUGUAAGUUAGAGGUGAAAGCCCGGGGCUCAACUCCGGAACUGCCUUUAAGACUGCAUCGCUAGAAUUGUGGAGAGGUAAGUGGAAUUCCGAGUGUAGAGGUGAAAUUCGUAGAUAUUCGGAAGAACACCAGUGCGAAGGCGACUUACUGGACACAUAUUGACGCUGAGGUGCGAAAGCGUGGGAGCAACAGG
rnacentral:rRNA from 1 species